rnacentral:misc_RNA from 1 species
CCUACGGGAGGCAGCAGUCGAGAAUUUUUCUCAAUGGGGGAAACCCUGAAGGAGCGACGCCGCGUGGAGGAUGAAGGCUUUCGGGUUGUAAACUCCUGUCAUUUGAGAACAAGGUGCACCGGUUAACUGCCGGUGCAUUGAUAGUAUCAGAAGAGGAAGGGACGGCUAACUCUGUGCCAGCAGCCGCGGUAAUACAGAGGUCCCAAGCGUUGUUCGGAUUCAUUGGGCGUAAAGGGUGCGUAGGUGGCGCCGUAAGUCGGGUGUGAAAUUUCGGAGCUUAACUCCGAAACUGCAUUCGAUACUGCGGUGCUUGAGGACUGGAGAGGAGACUGGAAUUCAUGGUGUAGCAGUGAAAUGCGUAGAGAUCAUGAGGAAGACCAGUGGCGAAGGCGGGUCUCUGGACAGUUCCUGACACUGAGGCACGAAGGCCAGGGGAGCAAACGGGAUUAGAUACCCUAGUAGUC